rnacentral:rRNA from 1 species
CACGUAGGGGGCGAGCGUUGUCCGGAUUUACUGGGCGUAAAACGCUUGUAGGUGGCCACGCCAAGUCGGACGUGAAAUCUCCGGGCUUAACCCGGAGCGGUCAAGUGAUACUGUCGUGCUAGAGUGCGGAAGGGGCUACUGGAAUUCUCGGUGUAGCGGUGAAAUGCGUAGAUAUCGAGAGGAACACCUGCGGCGAAGGCGGGUAGCUGGGCCGACACUGACGCUGAUGCGCGAAAGCCAGGGGAGCGAACGGG